CCUACGGGGGGCAGCAGUGAGGAAUAUUGCUCAAUGGACGAGAGUCUGAACCAGCCAAGUAGCGUGAAUGAUGACUGCCCUAUGGGUUGUAAACUUCUUUUAUAUGGGAAUAAAACGUUCCACGUGUGGGAUUUUGUAUGUACCAUAUGAAUAAGGAUCGGCUAACUCCGUGCCAGCAGCCGCGGUAAUACGGAGGAUCCGAGCGUUAUCCGGAUUUAUUGGGUUUAAGGGGAGCGUAGGUGGAUUGUUAAGUCAGUUGUGAAAGUUUGCGGCUCAACCGUAGAAUUGCAGUUGAAACUGGCAGUCUUGAGUACAGAAGAGGUGGGCGGAAUUCGUGGUGUAGCGGUGAAAUGCUUAGAUAUCACGAAGAACUCCGAUUGCGAAGGCAGUUCACUGGACUGCAACUGACACUGAGGCUCGAAAGUGUGGGUAUCAAACAGGAUUAGAUACCCGGGUAGUC
rnacentral:rRNA from 1 species